rnacentral:lncRNA from 1 species
AUUUAUAUCAUUGACAACAUUCUAUUGUAUUAAAUAAUCCUUUAAUCAACUUGAUAUGAAAAUUGAAAAUUGAUUGAAAGCAUGCUGAAGUUGUUUGAGUUCAGAAAUUGAAAGAGUACAAAAUUGGUUGAAAGAUUAAAUUAAGUAACAGGUAUGGUUGAGGGAUUAUUUAUUGUUCUAAUUAUAAUUAUUUCUUUUGAAUAGAGUUGUUAUCAGAUUCAAAGAUUGAAGAAGAAAAUUUUUCUUUACAUUUUAUUGAUGAACACAAUAAAACCAAGCAAAGUUCACAUUGUCAAAGAGUUUCAAGUUUUAAUAUGAGUAUUUUUGGUUUUUACACCACUGAAUGUUAAUGUGGAGAGAUGCAAAAUGUUAUUCUCAAGGAGCUUGUAGAAAUAAAAGUUCUUUUAAAAGAAGUUAUAGAAAUUAAGUUUCAGGCUACAGGGGUGAAGUUGCUAGAAUCGGUGGACGAACUGGUUACACUGGAUAAUAAACUAAAAGAUAAAACCGAGUAUACUAAUUUGCUUGAUAGUUUGAAAAAGAUUGGUGGUGGAAAGCCAAGAGAACAUGCUUUUUUGAUCAUGAAAAGGUAAAUGAUUAUGUUUUUAUUAAUUAUUAGAAAUAUGAUUAAAAGGGAUCAAAAGCAAUUCAUUUUGACCGUUAUUUGUUAUGGAUUUACUUUUAACAUGACAAUUUUAUAAACUCGGGAGCUUCACUGUAGGCGUUUAAGUUUGUUUGU